AGUAUGUUUGAGUACGUGCACAUCUUGAUUGUUAUUGCUUUUCUACAAGCACCGUGCUCUUCAACAGACCUCUCAAAUAUGCCACCACCAUCAGAUAUAAAAGAACUAGCAAUUGAUGAUCUAAAAGAUCUCUUGAUAACGUCUAUACAGAAUACAAUGUCCUUACAAAACUUGGUGACUCAACAGACCCAGAUGAUCGUCAACAUCAUGCUUUUGGUAGGAGAAACGUCUAACAAAGUGGAAGAGCUGGAAACAACACUGACUCGGGAAAUGGAAAACUUGAAAGCAACCAUGAACGAGGAAGUUGUUGUCUUGAAAUUGAAACUGGAGACAUUAGAGGAUAA